GUGUGUGGAUGGUGUUCAGCACAAGGGACAGGUGUUUUUACUUGUCUAUUUAUGGUGUUGAGCACCAUGGACAGGUGUGUUUACCU
rnacentral:pre_miRNA from 1 species